UGUUCUGUGGCUUAGUUGGUUAAAGCGCCGGUCGAGCGGAAACGGAGUCGUGAGUUCGAAUCCCACCAGUACGC
rnacentral:tRNA from 1 species